rnacentral:rRNA from 1 species
UAACGAGCGAGACUCUGGCCUACUAAAUAGUUGGCACAUUGCCACUGUGUGCCCAACUUCUUAGAGGGAUUUUCGGUGUUCAGCCGCACGAAAUUGAGCAAUAACAGGUCUGUGAUGCCCUUAGAUGUCCGGGGCUGCACGCGCGCUACACUGGCAAAAUCAGCGUGCUUGUCCUCCCCCGAAAGGGGUUGGUAAACCGAUGAAAAUUUGCCGUGAUUGGGAUCGGACAUUGCAAUUAUUGUCCGUGAACGAGGAAUCCCUUGUAAGGGCGAGUCAUCAACUCGUCCUGAAUACGUCCCUGCCCUUUGUACACACCGCCCGUCGCUGCCCGGGACUGAGCCAUUUCGAGAAAACCGGGGAUGGUUGGCCUGACGGCUCUCGGGUCGUCUAGCCGAUGAGAACCGGCUUAAUCGCACUGGUUUGAACCGGGCAAAAGUCGUAACAAGGUAGCUGUAGGUGAACCUGCUGCUGGAUCAUUA